GGUAGGGUGGCCGAACAUUUAGGUAGUGGAUUGUAGCUCCGAAGAUAGAGGUUUAAAUCCUCUCCUUAUCA
rnacentral:tRNA from 1 species